UACGUAGGGUGCAAGCGUUAAUCGGAAUUACUGGGCGUAAAGCGUGCGCAGGCGGUGAUGUAAGACAGAUGUGAAAUCCCCGGGCUCAACCUGGGAACUGCAUUUGUGACUGCAUCGCUGGAGUGCGGCAGAGGGGGAUGGAAUUCCGCGUGUAGCAGUGAAAUGCGUAGAUAUGCGGAGGAACACCGAUGGCGAAGGCAAUCCCCUGGGCCUGCACUGACGCUGAGGAGCGAAAGCAUGGGGAGCGAACAGG
rnacentral:rRNA from 1 species